rnacentral:rRNA from 1 species
GAUGAACGCUAGCUACAGGCUUAACACAUGCAAGUCGAGGGGAAACGACAUCGAAAGCUUGCUUUUGAUGGGCGUCGACCGGCGCACGGGUGAGUAACGCGUAUCCAACCUGCCCACCACUUGGGAUAACCUUGCGAAAGUAAGACUAAUACCCAAUGAUAUCUCUAGAAGACAUCUGAAAGAGAUUAAAGAUUUAUCGGUGAUGGAUGGGGAUGCGUCUGAUUAGCUUGUUGGCGGGGUAACGGCCCACCAAGGCUACGAUCAGUAGGGGUUCUGAGAGGAAGGUCCCCCACAUUGGAACUGAGACACGGUCCAAACUCCUACGGGAGGCAGCAGUGAGGAAUAUUGGUCAAUGGACGGGAGUCUGAACCUGCCAAGUAGCGUGUAGGAUGACGGCCCUAUGGGUUGUAAACUGCUUUUAUAAGGGAAUAAAGUGAGUCUCGUGAGACUUUUUGCAUGUACCUUAUGAAUAAGGACCGGCUAAUUCCGUGCCAGCCGCCGCUGUAA